ensembl:lncRNA
CACACGAACAUUAGGUGAUUAUUAUAGUCAGGCACGAUUCUAAAUGCUGUAUAUGUAUACUAAUUUAUUUAUUCUUGUAGGACAUAAAAGAUUAGCAGCCCCUUCAGGUUCUGGUAUGUUCUAAGAUGGGGUUAACCCAGAAACUGUCACGGAAAGACAGAUUCAGCAAAAAGACAGCAGCCAAUAUAUUAGAAUCAAAGUCCCUGUGGCUUAGCGGUAGUGACUGGACAUUGUGCCCUUGGGGAAAAAUUAAUGAGGUCAGAGCAGAUUGGGCGAGAUCAGGUCUGGCCCUUUUGCCACAGAGCCUGGAUUCAGAGAUGGUCUGAUGGGGAACCAGGCAGACAGUGCAACUGAGGCAUUCAGCCAUGGGCCCGGGCCAGAAGGGCACAGUUUGGGUUGAGAAUACGGACUUGCCUGAUGAAAGCCAGAGGUUGGCAGAAGGGAUGAGGGAGCCGAGAGGAGCCUCAGCCCCUGGGACAAAAUUGAGGGUGACAUCCACAUGAAGAACAACAGAUUUAAAGACAGGACAAAGACCAUUUCUUCCAAAACUGGAAGCAGACUAAAACAGAAAUCAAGUGAAACAGUAGAAGAGAGUUUUUCUUAGAAGAUCAAGUCUAAGGGUGAAACGUGUACACUCUCCUCAUUUAAGGAGUGAAGAUACUCAGACUAGUGGGCAAAGCUUGACUGACUCUGAAUUCUCCUCAGCAAUUAGCAAAUCCACACCUGUUAUUGCUUGCAUUGUGUCCCCCGCCCCCAAAGAGAUGUUGAAAUCCUAACCCUUGGUACUUGGGAACGUGAUCUGAUUUGUGAUAAAGGUCUUUGGAGAUGUGAUCAAGGUAAGUUGAGGUCAUUAAGGUGGUACCAAUCCAACACCCUGAGGGAAGUUUGGACACACACACACACACACACACACACACAGGAAAAUGCCAUGAGAAGACACAGGGAGACACUGGGAGAAGGUGGUCACGGAGUCAUGGAGUUUCAAGUCAAGAAACGCCGAAGACGGGUGGAAGCCUCCAGCAGCUGGGAGAGAAGCACGGAACAGAUGCUCCCUCGCAGCCCUCCUGAGGGAACCAACCUUCCUGGCACCUGGAUUUUGG